rfam:Spirochaetes bacterium GWB1_27_13 gwb1_scaffold_1552, whole genome shotgun sequence.
GCAAAAUAUUCUUAUUUAUGUUAGGCUUAUGUAGUAUAUUACAAUGGAAGAAGGUUAAAAUCCUUCACGAGCCCGUCACAGUGAUUAGUUAUGUUUUUACUUGAUGCCACUGGUGUAAACUGGGAAGGCGUAAAAAAUAAUGCUAUAAGUCUGGAAACAUUGGUGUACACAAAAAUUUAU